AGUGAACGCUGGCGGCGUGCUUAACACAUGCAAGUCGAACGAGAACGGAUUAUAGCUUGCUAUAAUUGUCAGCUAAGUGGCGCACGGGUGGGUAAUAUAUAGGUAACGUGCCCCCAAAGAAGAGGAUAACAGAUGGAAACGUCUGCUAAGACUCUAUAUGCCUUUAUGACAAAAGUCAGCAAGGGAAAUAUUUAUAGCUUUGGGAUCGGCCUGUACAGUAUCAGUUAGUUGGUGAGGUAAUGGCUCACCCAAGGACAAUGACGCUUAACUGGUUUGAGAGGAUGAUCAGUCACACUGGAACUGAGACACGGGUCCAGACUCCUACGGGAGGCAGCAGUGGGGAAUA
rnacentral:rRNA from 1 species